UAAUUUUAAAAAUAAAAUAAAAUUAAGGAGGAAUAAACCAAGGCUCUGAGAAAUUCAGUGACUUGCUAAAGUCUCACGGCUAGGAAUCUUUGGAGCCAUGUCUGCAAGACACUAAAGACUGUUCUCUUAGAUUCUACAUUCUUUUCUUGUGAUAUCCAUGAAUCAAUAUUGAAUAAGAUACUGGAGGGUACCAGGCUGGAAGUAAUCCCUCCCCCAGAACUCCUCUCACCCCCACAAAAAACCCCAACAAGAUUGUAAUAAACAUUCGUUGUUAACAUGUAUAAAUUUCUUUAGCAUAAACCCUUGCAGGGAAGUUUUCAAGUCACAGGUAAUCAUGUAUUUCAAUUAACCUUGAUCUUUCCAUAUUGUUUUCCAGAGUGGCCACCAGCUGAUGAUGAGAUUCACUGAUCCUCACAUCCUCUCCAAUUCUUGAGAUUAUCAUGGCUUAACUGAGAGAUAUUACAUGAUUAACAAACUCAUACUACCCUGGAACCAGCAUCAGUGCUACGGUGGAACCAAGAAUUCACUUCUGCCUCCAUUGUCACUGCCACCAGCAUCUGUCUACUCCCAAGAAACUAAAGGACAGGCACUGGACUGCUACUGCAGAAACACCCACAAUUCCACAGGCUUGCUUGCAAUGAAUUAAUAGUAAUAAUAAUUUA
rnacentral:lncRNA from 10 species